rnacentral:lncRNA from 1 species
UCCCCCUCAAGCUAGAGCAUAGAUAUUAAUCAUGCCCAACGUGUUACAAAGAUAUUCCACUCGAGUUCCAUUUAAAGACUUCGUGAACAUAUCACCCAAUUGCUCUCAUGUCUUCACAUAUCCAGUAGAAAUCAUGUUCUCUUGAAUCUUCUCAUGAACAAAGUGGCAGUCAACCUCAAUGUGUUUCAUCUGUUCAUGGUACACUGGAUUUGAGGCAAUGUGUAGAGCAGCCUGAUUAUCACAACAAAGUUUUGCCGGAGACAAACGGUUCAAACCAAUCUCAACUAAAAGGUGAUGAAUCCAUAGUAUUUCACAUGCAGAUUGAGCCAUAGAUCUAAACUCAGAUUCUGCACUAGAUCGAGAUACAACAGUUUGUUUCUUACUCCUCACGAUACCAGAUUUCCACCAAAAAAACGCAAUAGCCAGUAGUAGAUCUUCAAUCAAUUCUUGAUCCAGCCCAAUCAGCAUUUGCAAAACACUCAAUACGAGUAUGUUUGUGGUCGCUAUACAAAACGCCAAGGCUAGGAGCUCCUUUCAAGUAGCACAAGAUCUGUUCCAAAGCUGCCCAAUGUUUGAUUGUCGGUGCAUACAUGAAUUGACUGUUGGUACUGACUGCAUAUGCAAUAUCUGGAUGGGUCACUGUGAGGUAGUUCAAUUUUCCAACCAAUUUUCUGUAUCUUUCUGGAUUAUCAAAAGGAUCACCAUCAUCCUUAGUAAGAUGAACAUUAGGAACCAUUGGUGUGCGACAUGGUUUGGCUCCCAAUUAUUCAGUUUCUGCAAGUAGAACAAGUACAUACUUUCUUUGGGACAAGAAAAUUCCUUUCUUGCUUCUUGCUAUUUCG